UUUAACUGAAGAGUUUGAUCAUGGCUCAGAUUGAACGCUGGCGGCAGGCUUAACACAUGCAAGUCGAGCGGGGGAAGGUAGCUUGCUACUGGACCUAGCGGCGGACGGGUGAGUAAUGCUUAGGAAUCUGCCUAUUAGUGGGG
rnacentral:rRNA from 1 species